GGGGGCGUACUGGUUUCGACAGGGGUUGUUGUGGCAUAGGUAGCGAGCCGGGGUUCCAUCUGCCCGCAAUACGGUGGAUCUAAAGCAAACGCAAACAACGAAUACGCUUUAGCAGCUUAAUGCUAACGUUCUACCUACGCUUGCCCGUGGCCUAGGAUAGGACGUCACAUAGCGGGAUACCUGAAGCCCAAUUCUCGGAGGGCCGACUGGGAAAUCUUAUCGAGAUAGCGCCGGCGAAGCCUGUCUGUGGGCGUCAACGGGGCGAAAUCUAAAUCAUAGACUGCGCUCGGAGAAGCCUAUGUAGUAAUGCCUCUGGACAGGGGUUCGACUCCCCUCGCCUCCACCA
rnacentral:tmRNA from 1 species